AUUGAACGCUGGCGGCAUGCCUUACACAUGCAAGUCGAACGGCAGCACGGGUGCUUGCACCUGGUGGCGAGUGGCGAACGGGUGAGUAAUACAUCGGAACAUGUCCUGUAGUGGGGGAUAGCCCGGCGAAAGCCGGAUUAAUACCGCAUACGAUCUACGGAUGAAAGCGGGGGACCUUCGGGCCUCGCGCUAUAGGGUUGGCCGAUGGCUGAUUAGCUAGUUGGUGGGGUAAAGGCCUACCAAGGCGACGAUCAGUAGCUGGUCUGAGAGGACGACCAGCCACACUGGGACUGAGACACGGCCCAGACUCCUACGGGAGGCAGCAGUGGGGAAUUUUGGGCAAUGGGCGAAAGCCUGAUCCAGCAAUGCCGCGUGUGUGAAGAAGGCCUUCGGGUUGUAAAGCACUUUUGUCCGGAAAGAAAUCCUUGGCCCUAAUACGGUCGGGGGAUGACGGUACCGGAAGAAUAUGCACCGGCUAACUACGUG
rnacentral:rRNA from 1 species